rnacentral:lncRNA from 1 species
AUGGCCACAGGGACAGAGUGGAGCUGCCCCAUCUGCCAGGAUACUCAGAAUGAUGUGGCUUCUGCUUUGCCCUGUGACCACCAGUUCUGUUUGGACUGCAUCCUGCGGUGGACAAGAAGUCCAGUGUGCCCACUCUGCAACAAGUCAGAGACUGUCAGGUUUCUUGGCCAUGAAGAAGAUGACUAUAUAGACAUGGCCAUCAGAGCCUCCGAAGAGUCACCAGAGACCAACAGCCAGGCAGGGAGAGCUCCCUUCCUCCUGGAUGAAAACAGCCCCAGUUGUGCAGCUGCGACACCUCUGUCUUCCCCACAGGGAACACUGUCCCCAGCUGAGCAGGGAGCUGCAGAGCCAGAGCCUGUGGGUGGCCUUCUGCCCCAGGUGUGGGCAGGACUGUUCCGACAACAAGAACACCUCCUGGAUCCUGUGCAGCCCUGGCUGCGUCAGAGGCUGGAGGGAAUAUACUGGGACCGGUGGUGGCUGGUUGAGUACAUAGAGAACUGCAUCCUCUACAGCCUUUGCAUCUAUGGUCCAGAUGUGGAGAUGCUGGUCCAGGUGCUGCAGCCCCUCCUCAGUGAGCAAACAGUACCACUGAUCCACAGCAUCAGCAGUGUCAUCGUGGGCCGGUGCAGUGAGAAGGCCCAGAGGCUGCUACGCUCUGGUCAUGUCAGGGGUGAGAACAACAGCCCUAUGGCUAGCCCCAGCCCCAGCCCCAGCCCCAGCCCCAGCCCCAGCCCCAGCCCCAGCCCCAGCCCCAGCUCCAGCCCCAGCCCCAGCUCCAGCUCCAGCUCCAGCUCCAGCCCCAGCUCCAGCCCCAGCCCCAGCUCCAGCUCCAGCUCCAGCUCCAGCCCCAGCCCCAGCUCCAGCUCCAGCUCCAGCUCCAGCUCCAGCUCCAGCUCCAGCUCCAGCUCCACUCCAGCUCCACUCCAGCUCCAGCCCCAGCUCCAGCUCCAGUCCAGCUCCAGCUCCACUCCAGCUCCAGCUCCAGCUCCAGCUCAGCUCCAGCUCCAGCUCCAGCUCCAGCUCCAGCUCCAGCUCCAGCUCAGCUCCAAGAGCUCCAGCAGCUGCAGAAGGUCCAGAUCCAGAUCCAGCAGCUCUCAGCCCAGUAGCUCCUGGGAGGGGACCGCCACCAGCAGCCUUGCAGCCUCCAAGCGUGUGAUGCCAAUGAAGGGGAGCAGCUCCUGAUCCUCAGCUCUCCCCAAAAUGCUGCCAAGCACAGAAAUGGCCAGAGAAAAUCACAGCAACUGCCCCACCUGCCAGGACACUCCAAAGCAUGUGGCUUCUGCUCUGCCCUGUCUCCACAGGUUCGGCCUGGGCUGCAUCCUGCGGUGGACACAAACAAAUCCAUCAUGCCCAUUCUGCAGGACACUGACAGAAACUGUCAGGUUUUCUGAGCAGGGUGAACAGGACUAUCUGCUGUUUGCUGUCAUCUCCCCUGAAGAGUACCAGAGACCAGCAGCCACACAGGGGCAGCUCCCAUCCUCCCAGAUGAAAACAGCCCCCAUAGCCCUCUAGUGUCCCUUUCUCCACAGGGAACACUGUCCCCAGCUGAGCAGGGGUCUGCUGGAUCAGAGCCUGUGGGUGGCCUCCUGCCUGAGGUGUGGGCAAGACUGUUCCGCCAGUGACAGCACCUCCUGGAUCCUGUGCAGCCCUGGCUGUGUGAGAGGCUGGAGGGAAUAUUCCAGGACCGGUGGCAGCUGGUACCAGUUGCACAGAGCAACAUCUUGCAUGAUCUCUGUCUCCAUGGUCUGAAUGUGGAGAACUUGGUUCAGACGCUGCAGAACUGCCUUGGGGAACACACAGCACCGCUGGUCCAUGGCCUCAUCACUGUCAUUGUGGCCAAGUGCAAUGACAAGGCCCAGAGACUGCUGCUUUUCUGCAUUGGCAGGGAGGAGACUGACAGUCUUGUGACCAGUGCCAGCUCCAGCUCCAGUUCCAUGUCUGGCAGCUCCAGUUCCAGCAGCUCCCAGGAGAGGAUUUCUGCCAGUGUUUCAGCAGGAUUAAACGUGGAGGAGGAAGUAGGAGCAGCAGGGGCUGCGCUCCAAGGGAGUCCCAGACACUGCCCACCUAUGCCCAUUUCCACAGAGUGAGACAAGACCCAGGAGGAACCAGAGCAGGCAGUGGUGGCAGGUCCAUCUGCCCAGGGUGGCAUCUGCAGCCAGGUACAGGGCUGCAGUCUCACAGGGAGCCCAAAAGAGGAGAGCCCCCAGCCCCCAGGAUUCUCGCCUACCCAGCAAGAGGCAAAGGCAGGCACCUGUGCAAUCCUUCAGUCCUGAGGGGCUCUCAUCAGAGGAAGAUGAAAUCUGGACCAAGCAAGCCUACAGCAAUUUUGAGAAACAACUUCAUCUUCCCAUGUCUUGCUUCCAUGCAGUGCCUAGUGAAGUCCCUGUUGGGGCAGUCCACUGGUGCUGGGGGGUCCAAGAUCCCUCAGUAACUGAGAGAACAUGACACACUGAAAUGUGAGCACAUUCAAAAAUGUAGUCCCAGAUAUAGCAGUGUUUGCUGUAUUUAUUAUCUGUAUUUAAUAUACAUUAAAAGGGAGAAGCCCAGCUCUGAAGCUGUACUUUCGAAAUACAUUGACUGCUCUCCAAACCUGAAAUGUGAAUAUGUCAUGGAGAGGCUACAAAAAGAAGGUUGGAAAUACAUAUUGGUUUGUAAUUGAUUGUUUCUUGAAGAGCUGGAUUUACAUUUUGCAAGGCUGAAAAGUUCAUCUGUCAUUUGAAUGUGCGGCAGUAAAGGUGAAGUGACAGUUGCAGAACUGAUCUUUGAAAACAUGUGAAAUUUGGCAAAAAAGGAAUCAGUUGUCAGGAGCAUUGUGUUGUGAGACUGUAGUUAUGACUGAGAAAUCUGAAAAUGAAGAAAAAGCAGAACAAAUGAGUAGGCAGAAUUUAGAAUCAACUCAAUCAAGUACAAGAUAAAGAAACACAUUCACCAUGGCAAGAACUGACAGUCAGUACAAGGCCCU